UUCUUAGGCUGAAAACUUUGAAAAAAAAAUUCCAAGCCUCUCAUUUCUAUCUCUCCUUCACGUGUCUCCCCCUGCCCUCUCUCUCUCUCUUCACCGUGAUUCUCUCUCCUCUGUACGGCGAUGCUGCCGCCACGCCGCCGGCACCGUUGGUGUUUCUCUCACCGGCGGAGUUGUUCUUGUUGUUGAUUGCUUCUGUCGCUAUCGUGCUUACUCCCCUGCUGCCCUCCUCCUCCUCCUCUCGCCGUCUCUCCCCUCUCUCACUUUAGUUCAUGCCGCCGGCUAUGGUGGUUGAUGGUCACCAACAUCCUAACUCCACCAUUGAAUGGCUCGCCGGAGCACCAGCCAGUAGUCGUAGUGGUGCCGAUUGUUGUUGAUUCCCUUGUUGCUACUACUCUGCCUUCGAUUUGUCUCAAGGGUACAAUUCCAACCUAAACUUUAUUCCAUAUUAUUUCGAGUUCUUCUAAUUUAAGUUAAUGACUAUAAGAAUAUAAUUUACUACCAUAUUGUUUUGAUUACAUAGAAAUGAUUUGAAUUAUUGAAUUAAGCCGAUUUUAAUAAUAUGUUUGAGUGAUUUAGAUUAAUGUUUCUUGAUACAAGGAAGGGUUAUAGUAUAAAAAUAUAGAGUUUUCCUCAACUGUUUUUAUUAAUCAAAUAAAUAUUAUAAUUAUGGUUUCAAUCAUGAUUCAUGUCUAGCAACCCAAAUCAGUUUUCUUGAGGUAGGAUAUGUUUUAUGGUAAAUUCAAACUAAGCUUUCGAAAAUCAUUUAAAUUUCUAAAAGAAUUCAUCAAGUCCUAGUUGAUUCUAGUGAGUAGCUUAUUCAUUCAAGUUUUUCUGGAUGAGGUCAAUGAUUGGAGAAGGGAUAAGGAGAGAUUUGAAUCAAGGACUUAAGUGGAGAGCGAAGAUCGAAUGAGGCUUAGGAUGCAUGUCUAACGAUUCGAGAGUUAAAAUGUUUUGUAGGCAGCGAGAAUCGAGUCUCAGUUAAGGUUCAAGGUGCGUAGGGUACUCCAGAGGCCUUAUAUGUUUCAAGGCGGGCUUAUGGAUUCUCCAAGUGUAUUUAAGUCUUUCCUAAUUUGUUAAUGGGUUGUAUUAUUUCUUUCUAAAGAUUUUUGGUUAUUAUUUAUGGACAAUAUAUCCUUGUUGA